UACGUAGGGUGCGAGCGUUGUCCGGAAUUAUUGGGCGUAAAGAGCUCGUAGGCGGUUUGUCACGUCGGCCGUGAAAACCUGGGGCUUAACUCUGGGCGUGCGGUCGAUACGGGCAUCACUAGAGUUCGGCAGGGGAGACUGGAAUUCCUGGUGUAGCGGUGAAAUGCGCAGAUAUCAGGAGGAACACCGGUGGCGAAGGCGGGUCUCUGGGCCGAUACUGACGCUGAGGAGCGAAAGCAUGGGUAGCGAACAGG
rnacentral:rRNA from 1 species